GAACAAGCGAUUCAAGACAAUCAAGACAGAAUGCAGAGGAGGAGAGCAAACCCUAAAAGAAUGGCAGAACAUCAUGCCAUCAAGGACAUAGACCAGACUGGCAUGUUGGAUUUAAAAUACAUAAACUCCACCAAAGGCAAGGGUGUGUUUGCAAUGGCACCUUUUACAAAGGGGGAAUUUGUUGUGGAGUACCGUGGUCAACUGAUUGACUUCAUAGAGUCGGAGAGGAGAAGGAGAGUAUACAAUCCAAAAUGCUCUGUCUUCAUGUACGACUU